GAAAGUCACGAAUAUGAAUCAAGCCUUAACUGUGGACUAAUAACUCUUAAUGGUAAGCCUGACAGGAGUGCAGAAAAACUCUGCAAGUCGCAACUUAUAAUCAUGAUUUGCAGAGCACAUCGUGACUGAACACGACACAACAUUAUUUUCAUACAUGUCAACUUUUGGAUACUUUAACAUGACACAGCAACUUUCAGUUGCUCAGUAUUCAUUGUUUUCAUCAAUUUCAU
rnacentral:misc_RNA from 1 species